rnacentral:lncRNA from 1 species
CCAUUACAGAAAAUCCCAUUCUAUCUCUCUCUGAUAUCUCAUUCUUCCUUUCUGGGCUAAAUAUGGUGAGGGUUCUGCCAUAAGCUUCUUCAUCAUAGCCUCUUUUGAAAGAUGGAAACUUUCCCACAAGUUAACGUUAUCGAGCAAUUUUUAACAAAGAUCAGCAAAUAUUAGAGUGAUGUUUGGUCUAAAGCUCAAGAGGAAACAGCAAAAGGUACUAGUACGUCUGAAGAGGGUUGUUGAUUUUGUUUAUCAGAAAAUUCUAGGCCAAGCAGAGGGGCAGCCACCCUCCAAGAAUUCCCUUCUCUCUGAUGGCCUCAUUCUUCAUGGUACAGGGGUAUAUUUGGCCCUUUUCCGUUCGUCAUACUGGGCUAAACCUCCACUUUUCUAUGCUUUUGCUGCUGCUUUGCCUGAAAGCGCAGCCACAAAGGAGCAAAGUAAUCAUAGAUAAAGAGACAUAAAGAGACAAUAUAAAAGGGCAGCCCAGGGAGCUUUCCCACUACUGGGCAGAAUGGCCAAACAACAAGGUCUAUUAUACGCAGCCUUACCCUUCAUUUCUGCAAGACGCUGUUUCCACAGCUUGAACCCAUUACCUCCUGUAUCACAUGGCAGCAACUUUACCAUAUAUAUUAAGUACCUGGUAUAUAUGCUUAAAGGGCUGUUUAUUAGAGCAAAAAGGAAAUUCAUAGACAUACUAGAGAUGGUUUACCACCCUGAAAAUCCUUUUUUUUUCCUCCGAUUACCUCAUUUUUUAGCUAAAAUUUUAUGGACAACUGCAUCUUAAACUGUGUUCAAGAAAAACUGAAAAGCCAAUUGUGUUUCUGUAAAACUUUAGGGCUCAGAUUUUUCUGUAUAUAAGCAUGCAAGAAGAAAGGAACACAAUUGAUGGCUGCACAACGAUUUGCAAAUGGAUGACGUAC